UACAGAGGGUGCGAGCGUUAAUCGGAGUUACUGGGCGUAAAGGGCGCGUAGGCGGUUAUUUAAGUUAGAUGUGAAAUCCCUGGGCUUAACCUAGGAACUGCAUCUGAUACUGGAUAGCUGGAGUAUUGUAGAGGGUAGUGGAAUUUCCGGUGUAGCGGUGAAAUGCGUAGAGAUCGGAAGGAACACCAGUGGCGAAGGCGGCUACCUGGACAAAUACUGACGCUGAGGCGCGAAAGCGUGGGGAGCAAACAGG
rnacentral:rRNA from 1 species